AUUCAAUUCAUUUGAAAAUACAUUCAAAGCAGUUAUUGUCAUUAAAGUCAAAUAAUGUCAAUUAAUCUUUCUCAUUUUCAUGUAAACAAAAAACCCCAUAUUCUCAAUAGUUUGUGCUGAGAGUCUGUUGACCAAGAUGGCACCUACUAGGGACCCAGAGCUGUCUCCCUUCUGUCACAGAUUAUAGACAUAAUAAUAACCAAUGUUAUGUCUGUAAAUAACUUUGUGCUCAAAUGUACUUUACUGCUGACUCCAGUGUUCACCGAAUGCCUACGAGACAUACCCACCCAAGCAAGUUUUUCUAUUCUAGAACUUACGAGCUCUUCCUGAACGGCGGGACCCCCUAUGAGAAAGGCGUGGAAGUGGACCCUUCCGUGUCCAGGAGAGCACACAGCAGUGUUUUCCAUCAGAUGCUGACCAUGCGAAGGCAGCCUCAACUUCUGGUGAAACUGAGGUCUCUGAACCAAAGAUCGAGAAACAUCCUGAGCUUCCUGCCAGAAACCUUGGUUGGAAGUAUGUGCUGCUCCCACCUGCUGGUAUUUUAUCGGCAGAUUCUUGGAGAUGCGCUGCUGAAAGACAGGACGAACUCACAGAAGGCUGAGCUCAUCAGUCACCCAAUGCUGGCCUCCUUCCCCCAGCUCCUGGAGCAGCCUGAAGUGAUGGACGCGCUAAGGAGUUCAUGGGCUGAGAAAGAAAGCACACUGAAAAGAUCAGAGAAGGUAAUACGAUUUUUCAUGUGGGACUUUCUGUAGUGCUAUGGUUGCGUGCAUGUUCUUUAGCUAAAAAGUCAUAGCCCCGCUUACUCAGGUAGCUGUGCUAUUUCGGUUUCAAAGACAUAUUCUAAGAAGGGUGUGCAUGGCCUCCAGAAUGUCAUUUCAGGUCACUGAGGUUUAUUUAAAUGAAGGGGGAAUUUCUAAACCAGAGUCUCCAGCUGGCUAUCCCAUAUCCCUGAUUUCAAAAAAAAUUUUCCCUCCAGCUGCCAACAACUAAAUCACAUGGGGACAAGGAAAGAUGAGUUUGGCCUGGGCUGUGUCCCAUACUCACAAGUGCCUGGGUCCGCUCGUGUCACUUAGAAGAACUGUGAUUAUCACAGAAGUCGCAUGGAUCUGUGAGCAGCGGUUCAACUGCGCUGA
rnacentral:lncRNA from 1 species